AUAGCUAUGAAGCGUGAGGUUGCUACAAAGCAGAAAUACAAAUACAGCUGCUAUGUAGGUUUUCCGUGGAGCGAAUGUCAAGUUAGAAAACUGACGACA
rnacentral:ncRNA from 1 species